rnacentral:miRNA from 1 species
CAUGGCUUAUAUCAUCAUG